AUCUACCAGCAUACCACCCUGCAUCCCACUGCUGGCUUGCCUCUGAAGCUAAGCAGGGUUGGUCCCUGGAUGGGAGACCAGAUGCUGCUGGAAGUGGUGUUG
rnacentral:rRNA from 1 species